UCCGCAAUAGUUUAGUGGCUAGAAUUUCCGCCUGUCAGACACGCGGGGACCGGAGUUCAAUUCUCCGUUGCGGAG
rnacentral:tRNA from 1 species